ACUGAAGAAGCCGAUUAUCAGGUCAAACUGAAAAAGAUCGUCAGUUUCUUAGUAGACCAGGACAAAGUUAAAAUUAGCAUCCGCUUCCGUGGUCGUGAGAUGGCACAUCAAGAUAUCGGUCGUAAGCAGCUCGAUCGCAUCAUUGAAGACACCGCUGAUAUCUCAAACGUCGAACAAUACCCAAAAAUGGAAGGUCGACAAAUGGGUAUGCUACUAGGACCUACGAAGAAAAAAUAGGCAGACGGUAAAUUUUAGUCACAACAACAACCUAUUUGUAUUUUUUGACCAUCAAUAUGCCGCGGGAUAUUGA
rnacentral:misc_RNA from 1 species